UAUUUCCUGGAAUGUGCGACACUCCUGUCAUUUUGAACCUACAACAUUUAUAAGGGAUUCCUAAUUUGUGAGAUUAUGUCAGGCCGCCGUUUGCAGCGGAAGACAGAGGCUUACAUGCGGAAACCCACCUAGCUUUUGCUAGGAGUCAAAAUACAGGAAACGGCGUUUCGGGGUAUUG
rfam:Anaerocolumna xylanovorans DSM 12503 genome assembly, contig: EJ36DRAFT_scaffold00008.8